AGCCAUAUCUGCAAGCUCUUUCACAAUGAUUCUCCAGAGUCACUGAAACAACAGAUCUCUAAGAAAUGAGGCCCUAAUUACAGCCUGAAGGGAAAGGCAAUGUAGAAAGAAAUGGAGAAGUCCAUAUGGUAUAAAUGAUUGCACUUUGCUCCUGGAGGAAAAAAGGAAAUACACUGGACCCCAUGAAAAACAAGCACGGAGAACUCCAACGCAGCCUCAGCAAACAGACUAUUGAGCCUUUCGCUUCAGGUGUGCAUCUCUAGUGCCUCACCCAUUUCAAUCCCUCCCGAAACCUGCUCUGCUUUCUCCGGGUCCACGGA